GAUGAAGAACGCAGCGAAAUGCGAUACUUGGUGUGAAUUGCAGAAUCCCGUGAACCAUCGAGUCUUUUAACGCAAGUUGCGCCCGAAGCCAUUAGGCCGAGGGCACGCCUGCCUGGGCGUCACACGUCGUUGCCCCCCCAUCUACUCCUUCGGGAUUGCGGGGGGCGGAUGAUGGCCUCCCGUGCGCCUCGUCGCGCGGUUGGCAUAAAUACCAAGUCCUCGGCGACGCACGCCACGACAAUCGGUGGUUGCGAAACCUCGGUUGCCCGUCGUGUGCGGUCGUCGCGCAUCGAGGGCUCGAAAAAAUUGCCGGGCUCCGGCUCGGCUUUCAACGCGACCCCAGGUCAGGCGGGGUUACCCGCUGAAUUUAAGCAUAUCAAUAAGCGGAGGA
rnacentral:misc_RNA from 1 species